rnacentral:rRNA from 1 species
AUACGGAGGGUGCAAGCGUUGUUCGGAAUUACUGGGCGUAAAGCGCGUGCAGGCGGUAAGGUAAGUCAGAUGUGAAAGCCCCGGGCUCAACCCGGGAAGUGCAUUUGAUACUGCCUUUCUUGAGUAUGGGAGAGGAGAGUGGAAUUCCCAGUGUAGAGGUGAAAUUCGUAGAUAUUGGGAGGAACACCCGUGGCGAAGGCGACUCUCUGGACCAAUACUGACGCUGAGACGCGAAAGCGUGGGGAGCGAACAGGAUUAGAAACCCGGGUAGUCC